rnacentral:rRNA from 1 species
UAGGGAAUAUUGGGCAAUGGGCGCAAGCCUGACCCAGCCAUGCCGCGUGCCGGAAGACGGUCCUUCGGAUUGUAAACGGCUUUUAUCGAGGAAGAACGGUGGGAAUGUUCCUAAGCUGACGGUACUCGAUGAAUAAGCACCGGCUAACUCCGUGCCAGCAGCCGCGGUAAUACGGAGGGUGCAAGCGUUAUCCGGAUUUACUGGGUUUAAAGGGUGUGCAGGCGGCCUGGCCAGUCAGAGGUGAAAGGCGGUGGCUCAACCAUUGGAUUGCCUUUGAAACUGUCGGGCUUGAGUGGAGUCGAGGUGGGUGGAAUGCAGCGUGUAGCGGUGAAAUGCAUAGAUAUGCUGCAGAACACCAAUUGGGAAGCCAGCCCACCAGGCUUCGACUGACGCUGAGACACGAAAGCGUGGGGAGCGAACA